rnacentral:lncRNA from 1 species
AAUAUUAAUUUUUAAAACAAUAUAUUUAAAAGUUUGACAUUAUUUUAAAAUUUGAUGUAAAUUUUUAAUAUUUAAUUUUUAGUUUGAAUUUAAACUAAUAUAUUAUAAAGAUAAAAAUUGACAUAUUAAUUUGAUUACGUUUCUUAUAUCUAUAUGAACAAAACACCGACAAUAAAAAUGAUACAUUCCGAUUCCGAUUUAGAUGGCGAACCAAAUAUAAUGAGGUAAUGAAUUAUUUCAAUUCCAUUUCCAGCUUAUUCUCAUUCCGAUUUCGAUAUUGAUUUCGACUUCGAACCAAAGACACCCUAAAUAUGUUAAAUAAUUUUCUCUCAAAAGUUUAACUGAUUUAAAAAUCCUACAUUGUUACACAAGAAAAUAAUUCUUAUAG